UUUUUUUGAAAGAGGAAUUUAUUAACACUAAAUUCCCAUGCCAUUCAAAUUCUUUAACAUUUUGAUAAAAAUUUUCCCUGAUAUAAAGAUUUGGGUGUACAACUCCAAAACGGAAUUUGCAUCACAAAAUAACAAUUGCAAUUUCCUUCCCUAAUUUGAGAAAAAAAAAACAAAAAGAACUCUCUACCCUUGAUCCAGAGUAACGACACUACGCAAAAAGAGUGCGACGAAAAACAAAAAACCUAGCUAUACCCCCCAGAUCCAAUUUAACAUGGUAAGUGCCUUCAUGUAAAGACUGCCACACUAACAAGCACGAACCGCAGGCCUACAAAGCAUCAAAAUAAAGACAGCUUGAUGAUCCUAACACCCAAUAGGGUACGGUUCAGCAAAGAAAAUGUCCUUAUCCUAAUCAUGUGAGAAUAAAAAUCCUACUGGAGCACUUCAUAACAUAGCAGCUCAACAACACUCCAUCUUAAUGUUUGAAGAUCAUCCAAAAUUCAUAUAGACAUAAUUAAUAAUCCUAAUGUCUUAUUUAUAUGAAGCUUUUUGAGCAUAGCGGAAAUUCUUACUAUAAAGGAAGUUUUUCAAAUUUUCGUGGGACUCAUGGAAAACCAUGUAAAGCUUUGGGUGGAAAGUGAUUUGUUGAACGCGAUGAGCUGGAUCAAUAAUCCUCAAGAAGCAUCAUGGAGAUUCAGGCAACAUGCAAAAGGAAGUAUUAAGUUGGAAGGUCACACACAUUUAACAGGGAGGGGAAUUGUGCGGCUGAUAUUUUAGUUAAGGAAGAUGUUUUAAGAGAGACUGAUUUCCUGUAAGUGUUUGAAAAAAAUUAAGGUGUGUGAUGGAGUCUCAUUUGACACUAGUUGUUUAAUAGGAAGAGUUUUAUCUUGCAGAGAAUCUUAGUUUGAU
rnacentral:lncRNA from 1 species